rnacentral:rRNA from 1 species
GUUUGAUCAUGGCUCAGGAUGAAUGCUGGCGGCGUGCCUUAGGCAUGCAAGUCGAGCGGAUGAGGGGAGCUUGCUUCCUGAUUCAGCGGCGGACGGGUGAGUAAUGCCUAGGAAUCUGCACGAUAGUGGGGGACAACGUUUCGAAAGGAACGCUAAUACCGCAUACGUCCUACGGGAGAAAGUGGGGGAUCUUCGGACCUCACGCUAUCGGAUGAGCCUAGGUCGGAUUAGCUAGUUGGUAGGGUAAUGGCCUACCAAGGCUACGAUCGGUAGGGGAUCUGAGAGGAUGAUCCCCCACACUGGUACUGAGAUACGGACCAGACUCCUACGGGAGACAGCAGUAGGGAAUAUUGGGCAAUGGGCGAAAGCCUGACCCAGCCAUGCCGCGUGCAGGAUGAAGGCCUUCUGGGUUGUAAACUGCUUUUCUACAGGAAGAAACGGCCCCUGCGGGGGACAUUGACGGUACUGUAGGAAUAAGCACCGGCUAACUCCGUGCCAGCAGCCGCGGUAAUACGGAGGGUGCAAGCGUUGUCCGGAUUUACUGGGUUUAAAGGGUGCGUAGGCGGAUGAUUAAGUCAGUGGUGAAAGCCUGCGGCUUAACCGCAGAAGGGCCAUUGAUACUGGUCAUCUUGAGUGCAGUGGAGGUAGGCGGAAUUUAUGGUGUAGCGGUGAAAUGCAUAGAUACCAUAAAGAACACCUAUAGCGAAGGCAGCUUACUACGCUGUAACUGACGCUGAGGCACGAAAGCGUGGGGAUCAAACAGGACUAGAUACCCUGGUAGUCCACGCCCUAAACGAUGACGACUAGUUGUUGGGGGAGUUAAAUCCCUCAGUAACGCAGCUAACGCGUGAAGUCGUCCGCCUGGGGAGUACGGUCGCAA